rnacentral:lncRNA from 1 species
CCCAGAGAUUUUAUUCCUUCUCCAACUUUUGAGUCCGUCAAUGACGGUAUUCGCCGCCCCUUAUGAUUCCCCUAUAUCUACUUCUUCUAAUCAGCCGAUGCAUAUCCUUGAUCUAUCUGAAUUCUCUAAUUUCUCUUACGAAGUUAAUGGGACAUCUGAUUUCCUAAUUCUGUCACCUCUUAUGGAGAUACAAUCGGAAAGGGGACAAAAGACGAUGAAUUACUCGACUAAAAGUUUCUAUUAUUCUCCAGCAAUUACUCAAGCAAAUCGCUGCCAAAUGCUUCGGAAUCGCAAAUCAAUUUAUGUUCGAUCAGAUUCUGUUGCUUUCGAAUUUCGUGCAGUUAUCUGAGUCGUCUUUUUCCAUUUGAGAUUUGAGAUUCUCUUCUUUUCACAGGUCUGAGUCGUCUUUAGACAAUGAAAAUUCUAUUCUAUAUACGACUUAAAUUUUAUUAUUCAAGUGAAUACAACUUGUAUAUUGUGUAUUUUUCAUUAUUUGUACCCUUGUAUAAUUCUAGAUUUCGAUGUCUGUGGAUUCUCUUCGUGACUCAUUGAUUUUGGACAUGGAAAAUUCAAUUUUGAAUACAAUCUGAUACGAUAUAUUUUCCGAUGACUUUGUUGUAAUGAUGACUUCACAAUUCUAUUUUUGAUUUCUUUUUACAGUGUAUGCUUGAGAAUAUAAUUGUAUUUGACUGUAUUUUACUUUUAUUUAUCGAUGUUGGUACUUUUUGAUACAAUAUAUGAUAGAGCUAUGUGAUAACUAUAUUCUAUUUUUCAUAUAUUAAAUGUGUUUUUCUAGCUUGUAUCCAGUCUCUCACAGGUUGUAGUGACUGUAUCCAGCAUUUCAUAUGAUGUAUGUAUACCUCAAGGGAUGGAUCCUAUAUGUAUUCUGGUUUUCAUAUGGAAUGUAUUUUUUAUUGGUUGUAUCCGUGUGUUACACCCCUGUAUUUUUUAUAUUUCGC